rnacentral:piRNA from 1 species
UUAAAAAUUGCCGGGCUGAAGAGAAGGGC